rnacentral:rRNA from 1 species
GUAGGGUGCAAGCGUUGUCCGGAAUUAUUGGGCGUAAAGAGCUCGUAGGCGGUUUGUCGCGUCGGCUGUGAAAACUCGGGGCUCAACCCCGAGCCUGCAGUCGAUACGGGCAGACUAGAGUGCUGUAGGGGAGACUGGAAUUCCUGGUGUAGCGGUGAAAUGCGCAGAUAUCAGGAGGAACACCGGUGGCGAAGGCGGGUCUCUGGGCAGUAACUGACGCUGAGGAGCGAAAGCGUGGGGAGCGAACAGGAUUAGAUACCCUGGUAGUCCACGCCGUAAACGGUGGGUGCUAGGUGUAGGGGGUAUUCCACGCCCUCUGUGCCGCAGCUAACGCAUUAAGCACCCCGCCUGGGGAGUACGGCCGCAAGGCUA